rnacentral:rRNA from 1 species
AAUUUUCUAAAAGGGGGGAAACCCUUAUCCAGCCAUCCCGCGUGCAAUAUGAACGACAUCGGGUUGUACAGUACUUUUGGCAGAGAAAAAAAGGUAUCCCCUAAUACGGGAUACUGCUGACGGUAUCUGCAUAAUAACCCCCGGCGAACUACGUUCCACGAGCCGCGGUAAUACGUAGGGAGGAAGCGUUAAUCGGAAUUACUGGGCGUAAAGCGUGUGUAGGCGGUUCGGAAAGAAAGAUGUGAAAUCCCAGGGCUCAACCUUGGAACUGCAUUUUUAACUGCCGAGCUAGAGUAUGUCAGAGGGGGGUAGAAUUCCACGUGUAGCAGUGAAAUGCGUAGAUAUGUGGAGGAAUACCGAUGGCGAAGGCAGCCCCCUGGGAUAAUACUGACGCUCAGACACGAAAGCGUGGGGAGCAAACAGG